GACGAACGCUGGCGGCGUGCUUAACACAUGCAAGUCGAACGAUGAAGCUGGAGCUUGCUCCGGCGGAUUAGUGGCGAACGGGUGAGUAACACGUGAGCAAUCUGCCCUUCACUCUGGGAUAACUGCGGGAAACUGUAGCUAAUACCGGAUACGAAGCCUUGGGGCAUCCCAGGGCUUGGAAAGAAUUUCGGUGAAGGAUGAGCUCGCGGCCUAUCAGCUAGUUGGUGAGGUAAUGGCUCACCAAGGCGACGACGGGUAGCCGGCCUGAGAGGGUGACCGGCCACACUGGGACUGAGACACGGCCCAGACUCCUACGGGAGGCAGCAGUGGGGAAUAUUGCACAAUGGGCGCAAGCCUGAUGCAGCAACGCCGCGUGAGGGAUGACGGCCUUCGGGUUGUAAACCUCUUUUAGUAGGGAAGAAGCGAAAGUGACGGUACCUGCAGAAAAAGCACCGGCUAACUACGUGCCAGCCGCCGCAGUAA
rnacentral:rRNA from 1 species